rnacentral:rRNA from 1 species
UGAGGAAUAUUGCACAAUGGGGGCAACCCUGAUGCAGCAACGCCGCGUGGAGGAUGAAGGCUUUUGAGUUGUAAACUCCUUUUCUGAGGGAAGAGUAAGGACGGUACCUCAGGAAUAAGGCCCGGCUAACUACGUGCCAGCAGCCGCGGUAAUACGUAGGGGUCAAGCGUUAUCCGGAAUUACUGGGCGUAAAGGGCAUGCAGGCGGCUUGCCAAGUCCGAUGUGAAAGCUCCCGGCUUAACUGGGAGAGGUCGUUGGAUACUGGUUGGCUUGAGGCAGUGAGAGGGAUACAGAAUUCCUGGUGUAGUGGUGGAAUGCGUAGAUAUCGGGAAGAACACCAGUGGCGAAAGCGCUCUACUGGGCCGAAACUGACACUCACAGGACGAAAGCUAGGGGAGCGAAAGGGAUUAGAUACCCGGGUAGUCC